rnacentral:rRNA from 1 species
UGCAUCGGGGAUCGAUUUAGCCAUGCUAGUUGCGCGAGUUCAGACUCGCAGCAGAUAGCUCAGUAACACGUGGUCAAGCUACCCUGCAGACACGGACAACCUCGGGAAACUGAGGCUAAUCCGCGAUACCGAUCCCACGCUGGAAUGCCGGGAUCCACAAACGCUCCGGCGCUGCAGGAUGCGGCUGCGGCCGAUUAGGUAGACGGUGGGGUAACGGCCCACCGUGCCGAUAAUCGGUACGGGUUGUGAGAGCAAGAGCCCGGAGACGGAAUCUGAGACAAGAUUCCGGGCCCUACGGGGCGCAGCAGGCGCGAAACCUUUACACUGCACGCAAGUGCGAUAAGGGGACUCCGAGUGCGAGGGCAUAUAGUCCUCGCUUUUGAGAACCGUAAGGUGGUUCUCGAAUAAGAGCUGGGCAAGACCGGUGCCAGCCGCCGCGGUAAUACCGGCAGCUCAAGUGAUGGCCAAUCUUAUUGGGCCUAAAGCGUCCGUAGCUGGCCGUGAAAGUUCGUCGGGAAAUCCAUCCGCUCAACGGAUGGGCGUCCGGCGAAAACUUCACGGCUUGGGACCGGAAGGCUCGAGGGGUACGUCCGGGGUAGGAGUGAAAUCCUGUAAUCCUGGACGGACCGCCGAUGGCGAAAGCACCUCGAGAAGACGGAUCCGACAGUGAGGGACGAAAGCUAGGGUCUCGAACCGGAUUAGAUACCCGGGUAGUCCUAGCCGUAAACGAUGUUCACUAGGUGUGGCACAGGCUACGAGCCUGUGCUGUGCCGUAGGGAAGCCGAGAAGUGAACCGCCUGGGAAGUACGUCCGCAAGGAUGAAACUUAAAGGAAUUGGCGGG